rnacentral:rRNA from 1 species
GACGAACGCUGGCGGCGUGCCUAAUACAUGCAAGUAGAACGCUGAAGGAGGAGCUUGCUCCUCUGGAUGAGUUGCGAACGGGUGAGUAACGCGUAGGUAACCUGCCUGGUAGCGGGGGAUAACUAUUGGAAACGAUAUCUAAUACCGCAUAAGAGUAGAUGUUGCAUGACAUUUACUUAUAAGGUGCAAUUGCAUCACUACCAGAUGGCCCUGCGUUGUAUUAGCUAGUUGGUGGGGUAACGGCUUACCAAGGCGACGAUACAUAGACGACCUGAGAGGGUGAGCUGCAAAGCUGGGAUUGAAACAAGGCCCAGAACACUGGGAGAGGGAGCAGUAGGGGAUCAUCGGGAAAGGACGCAAGUCUGACCGUACGACGACGCGUGAGAGAAGAAUGUAUUCGGGUCGGAAGACUCGGUUGUACGAGAAGAUCGAGUAUCAGAGUUAAAAGUUCACAAUAUGACGGUAUCUGACGAAAAAGGGACGGCUAACUACGUG